rnacentral:misc_RNA from 1 species
UGCUGGUCAUAUACUUGAAACCUGCCAACCCAUUCACUAAGUUACAUGCGCUCUUUAAAAUCAACGAGCGCAAAAGUGCAUUUCUUAAGAAGCCUAACGGGUUCAAAUUCCUCGUGUUUCUGCCCUCUGGUUCACCAGGCAAGGGAAGGCUGAACAUAAAAAUUCCCUAGACACUGCUUCUGCCACGUAACAAACUAUUC